rnacentral:lncRNA from 1 species
UCAGAGAUUCUCCUCUAUUGCUAACUAUGCAUGCAUCCUCAGACAUCCUCUGCUUCUUCCAGGAUCCUUUUCCUUGAAGAGUUGUUAAGCGCUCAUCAGAAGCCUUGGUGAUUCAUCUGAACUAUCCACUCUACUGGGCAGUCCUAGUGUUGAUUCUGACCUUGUUUGGCACUCAUCCCAAGAUAUUUGCAGAAGAUGUGAAAAAGCCAGGUCGUCUACUAGGUAGACGUCCGAAUAUAUGGAAAAUUCUAAACAGCAAUGACUUAGACAAGGCUUAUGAGUCCUGCUCUGAAUGUGCCAUCAGCCGAGAGCUUUCUGCCAUGACUCUGAAACACUGAUGUCCUCUCCACUCCACCUCACCUUGACUGCUUCCCCUCUGGUUUUCCCACCAAAAUGAAGAUAUCUCCACUCACCAUUGCUUAAGACAAACGUCAGG